UUGAAUCCAGCAAACAUUACC
rnacentral:misc_RNA from 1 species